rnacentral:rRNA from 1 species
GACAGAGGGUGCAAACGUUGUUCGGAAUUACUGGGCGUAAAGCGUGUGUAGGCGGCUACGUAAGUCGGAUGUGAAAGCCCCAGGCUCAGCCUGGGAAGUGCACUCGAUACUGCGUAGCUUGAGUAUCGGAGAGGUUGGUGGAAUUCUCGGUGUAGAGGUGAAAUUCGUAGAUAUCGAGAGGAACACCGGUGGCGAAGGCGGCCAACUGGACGAAUACUGACGCUGAGACACGAAAGCGUGGGGAGCAAACAGG